rnacentral:rRNA from 1 species
GACGGACGCUGGCGGCGUGCCUAAUACAUGCAAGUAGAACGCUGAAGAGAGGAGCUUGCUCUUCUUGGAUGAGUUGCGAACGGGUGAGUAACGCGUAGGUAACCUGCCUUGUAGCGGGGGAUAACUAUUGGAAACGAUAGCUAAUACCGCAUAACAAUGGAUGACCCAUGUCAUUUAUUUGAAAGGGGCAAAUGCUCCACUACAAGAUGGACCUGCGUUGUAUUAGCUAGUAGGUGAGGUAACGGCUCACCUAGGCGACGAUACAUAGCCGACCUGAGAGGGUGAUCGGCCACACUGGGACUGAGACACGGCCCAGACUCCUACGGGAGGCAGCAGUAGGGAAUCUUCGGCAAUGGGGGCAACCCUGACCGAGCAACGCCGCGUGAGUGAAGAAGGUUUUCGGAUCGUAAAGCUCUGUUGUAAGUCAAGAACGAGUGUGAGAGUGGAAAGUUCACACUGUGACGGUAGCUUACCAGAAAGGGACGGCUAACUACGUG